rnacentral:tRNA from 1 species
GCUACUGUAGCACAGUCGGUAGUGCAGCUGAUUCGUAAUCAGCAGGUCGCGUGUUCGAUCCACGUCAGUAGCUCCA